AACGAACGCUGGCGGCAGGCCUAACACAUGCAAGUCGAACGAGAAGCCACCUUCGGGUGGUGGACAGUGGCAGACGGGUGAGUAACGCGUGGGAACGUGCCUUUCGGUUCGGGAUAACCCAGGGAAACUUGGGCUAAUACCGGAUACGCCCUUCGGGGUAAAGGAUUCAUUGCCGAAAGAAUCGGCCCGCGUCGGAUUAGCUAGUUGGUAGGGUAAAAGCCUACCAAGGCGACGAUCCGUAGCUGGUC
rnacentral:rRNA from 1 species